UGGGGAAUUUUGGACAAUGGACGCAAGUCUGAUCCAGCCAUGCCGCGUGCGGGAAGAAGGCCUUCGCGUUGUAAACCGCUUUUGUCAGGGAAGAAGCGAGUUUCUCUAAUACAGAGACUUAAUGACGGUACCUGAAGAAUAAGCACCGGCUAACUACGUGCCAGCAGCCGCGGUAAUACGUAGGGUGCGAGCGUUAAUCGGAAUUACUGGGCGUAAAGCGUGCGCAGGCGGUUUUGUAAGACAGAGGUGAAAUCCCCGGGCUCAACCUGGGAAUUGCCUUUGUGACUGCAAGGCUUGAGUGCGGCAGAGGGGGAUGGAAUUCCGCGUGUAGCAGUGAAAUGCGUAGAUAUGCGGAGGAACACCGAUGGCGAAGGCAAUCCCCUGGGCCUGCACUGACGCUCAUGCACGAAAGCGUGGGGAGCAAACA
rnacentral:rRNA from 1 species